rnacentral:rRNA from 1 species
CCUACGGGUGGCUGCAGUCGGGAAUAUUGCACAAUGGGGGAAACCCUGAAGCAGCGACGCCGCGUGAGUGAGGAAGUAUUUCGGUAUGUAAAGCUCUAUCAGCAGGGAAGAAAAUGACGGUACCUGACUAAGAAUCCCCGGCUAACUACGUGACAGCAGCCGCGGUAAUACGUCGGGGGCAAGCGUUAUCCGGAUUUACUGGGCGUGAAGGGGGCGUAGGCGGCUGUACAAGUCUGAAGUGAAAGCCGGGGGCUCAACCGCGGAACUGCUGUGGAAACUGUAAAGCUGGAGUACUGGAGAGGCAGGCGGAAUUCCUGGUGUAGCGGUGAAAUGCGUAGAUAUUAGGAGGAACACCAGUGGCGAAGGCGGCCUGCUGGACAGAAACUGACGUUGAGGCUCGAAAGCGUGGGGAGCAAACAGGAUUAGAUACCCCGGUAGUC